rnacentral:rRNA from 1 species
GCAAGUCGAGCGGCAGCACCACGGGUGGCGAGCGGCGAACUGGUGAGUAACGCGUAGAUUAUCUGCCUUUAGGACUGUGAUAGCCCUGGGAAACCAGGAUUAAUACCGGAUAUGAGAAUACUUGAAAGCGGCGUUUGCCGCGCCUAAAGAUGAGUUUGCGUACCAUUAGCUAGUUGGUGAGAUAAGAGCUCACCAAGGCGACGAUGGGUAGCCGGCCUGAGAGGGUGAUC